rnacentral:rRNA from 1 species
GUUGAACGCUGGCGGCAGGCCUAACACAUGCAAGUCGAACGGUAACAGGAAACAGCUUGCUGUUUCGCUGACGAGUGGCGGACGGGUGAGUAAUGUCUGGGAAACUGCCUGAUGGAGGGGGAUAACUACUGGAAACGGUAGCUAAUACCGCAUAACGUCGCAAGACCAAAGAGGGGACCCUCGGGCCUCUUGCCAUCGGAUGUGCCCAGAUGGGAUUAGCUUGUUGGUGGGGUAACGGCUCACCAAGGCGACGAUCCCUAGCUGGUCUGAGAGGAUGACCAGCCACACUGGAACUGAGACACGGUCCAGACUCCUACGGAGGCAGCAGUGGGGAAUAUUGCACAAU